rnacentral:rRNA from 1 species
CUGGCCGGGCAAGUCCAUCGGGAAAUCCACCCGCUCAACGGGUGGACGGCCGGUGGAAACUGCCCGGCUCGGGACCGGAAGACCCAACGGGUACGUCCAGGGUAGGAGUGAAAUCCCGUAAUCCUGGACGGACCGCCGAUGGCGAAAGCACGUUGGGAAGACGGAUCCGACAGUGAGGGACGAAAGCUAGGGUCUCGAACC